AAAAAGGGCUUCUGCCAUGAAUGGCACAGGAGGAGUGGGGAACUCCACACCCCCUGCGGAAUCGCCAUCAAGAGAUUUCGGAAGCAUAAUUUUUACCACAGGGGCUGCUAGUGAUCUCAUGUCCUGGCGCCCCG